rnacentral:lncRNA from 1 species
AUGUUUGCUUUUACCAAAAGUGCGUUUUUUACAGCUACUGCAGGCAUCGCUUCAGAGUGCCGCAGAACGCUAAAAGGCUCUUGGGGGCUCGGCGGGGCACCACCUCCUCCCACAGGACUACCAGCCCCAGCCGGGGACCGGCUCGAUUCGGUUUUUAUGGCGUCGAGACACCUCUCAACCCCCUCCCUUCCCCUUUCUCCCUUCUCAUCCCAUCUCCCUGACGGCCACCCCUCCGCGCUGGAGGCGGUGCCGUGCGUGGGCAGGGCGGGAGCUGGUAAGGCGGCGCUGGCCGCCAUUUGCCCGCAGUUGCCGGCUCCUCCUGCCCGCCCGCCCACAUGUCAUGGCGGCCCCGGCCCUGACCUUCCUCCGGCGGCUGUGCUGGCGGUCUCUAUGCGAAGCGAGGGGAAGCUGACACAGACGCGUUCAGAACAUGAGGCUGCACACAUCCAACAGGCUUCACAUCCAGCUGUUUAAGAUUGGAGGCCCCACAACUCGCUGUGUGAGACAGGCUGUAUCUGCAGUCACUGCUGGGUAGACUG